rnacentral:tRNA from 1 species
UUAGAGUAUGGGAACAUAAUAUUCUCCUUAAUGA